rnacentral:piRNA from 1 species
UGACUUCUAUGUCACGAAUCCAGAGAGCA